UAGUACUGUGUCCUGCGACCAAUGUUGUUGCAUGGUUUUGUUUGUUACGUAAGAAGCCUGAUACUCAUAUCAAAACUGCAAUUAACAAUGCAAUGAAGUCAGCAAACACAACUGCGGAUGGUACAAAUAAUCCAGCAACUCCUAAGUGGAUUGAAGUCAAGAGCCAUGUUCAAAGCGGAGGGUAUGAGUGUGGCUACUACGUGAUGCAUUGGAUGUGGAACAUCGUCAGUGGGGGUUUAAAGAAU